rnacentral:rRNA from 1 species
UACAGAGGUGUCAAGCGUUGCUCGGUAUCACUGGGCUUAAAGGGCGCGUAGGCUGUGCGGUACGGUUCGGGUGAAAUCCCUCGGCUCAACCGAGGAACUGCCCGGGCGACGGCCGCGCUGGACUGCAUUGGGGGACGAUGGAACUCCCGGUGGAGCGGUGAAAUGCGUAGAUAUCGGUAGGAACACCAGUGGCGAAGGCGGUCUCUUGGGGCAUUCUUGACGCUGAGGCGCGAAAGCUGGGGGAGCGAACGGG